rnacentral:rRNA from 1 species
CCUACGGGGGACAGCAGUGGGGAAUAUUGGACAAUGGGGGGAACCCUGAUCCAGCCAUGCCGCGUGUGUGAAGAAGGCCCUCGGGUUGUAAAGCACUUUCAGUGAGGAAGAACGCCUGGUGGUUAAUACCCAUCAGGAAAGACAUCACUCACAGAAGAAGCACCGGCUAACUCCGUGCCAGCAGCCGCGGUAAUACGGAGGGUGCGAGCGUUAAUCGGAAUUACUGGGCGUAAAGCGCGCGUAGGUGGCUUGAUAAGCCGGUUGUGAAAGCCCCGGGCUCAACCUGGGAACGGCAUCCGGAACUGUCAAGCUAGAGUGCAGGAGAGGAAGGUAGAAUUCCCGGUGUAGCGGUGAAAUGCGUAGAGAUCGGGAGGAAUACCAGUGGCGAAGGCGGCCUUCUGGACUGACACUGACACUGAGGUGCGAAAGCGUGGGUAGCAAACAGGAUUAGAUACCCCAGUAGUC